GGUGGGCGAGGCUUUUGGGGGGCUGGCAGGGGGGAGGAAGUAUUUCUGGCGUGGCAUCCUGUUCAAGCUGGCAGAUGGCAGCGUUGGGCCUUACGAAGGUAGCGACGAAGCAGCUGCCAAAGCC
rnacentral:SRP_RNA from 1 species